UNGAUCAUGACAGAGGCCUAUUGUAACCC
rnacentral:piRNA from 1 species